AGACAGAUUCAGCUAGUUGCUUGGUUAACCGAUCAAUUUAUUUGCUAGACACAUCCACAGGCACAAGCUCCCACACAAACAAAAUCAAACAUGAACCAUCCACAUGCACAUCCACAUUCUAAAACGUCUCAAACAAAAUCUAUAAUCAAGAUCCUGUGCUCCACCACCUCCAGUGAGGCCAAUUGGUAUUCCGGGAGAUCCUCGGCCCCCUGUUGCGUUCCCAAUCUCCAACCAGGAAAGAGAGAAAAGAGGUCACUAAGGCCUAGCAUGGAAGAUACCUGGCGAUGGAUUAAUGGCUGGGAGAACAAAUGAAGUCUUGGAGAGAGUUUAUAUCUUUCAAUACAAAGCAGAAAAGUGGAUGGCUAUUUUAUUUUAUACCGGUCCUCCUCACAGUUUGCCUGCAUUAGCACACCUCUGAAACAAAACUGACUUUCACUGUACAUGAGAAAGAGAAUAGGAUGAAAUCUACUUACUGCAUUGAAAUGAGGUUCAUCAGGAGCAGAGGAAGGUCACAGUCAACCUAUGAGGGAAUAUCAAAGCCGCUCUCACUCAGAGAGCCUCUCACAGUCUUUGAGUCUGCCUCUCUCAAACUCGCCCCCCGCCCCUCGGCCCAGUCAAGAUGCUGCCUGCCGAUUCCACAUUCAAUAGAAGCCUUAGCCCAGCAAAUAAAAUACAGCUCUCUUCUUCUCACAGCACUCCCACAUGCAGAAUCAAGCAAUGUCUAUUUAAAAGAGAAACUGCAAGACACUAAACUAACAGACAUUAUUUUAACAAUGAGGAGGGGAAUUGCCUUCAUGCAGAAUUCUAAGUAAAAGUAUGUGUCAUACAAAAAGGAGGACAUGGCAACAAGGCCAAGAGUUGUGUUUAGACUCACUCCUUGCACCUUGAAAAGGAAAACAUUUAUUUUGGACUCAACAUGAAAGCAGGGUAUUCAUGCAUCAAUUGAAUGUAAUCCUCUUUUACUGGGUGUAAAAAGUUCAGUUUCACGUUUUGACUACACUGAUUGCCAGCAACUAUUAGAUACUUUCAGUGCUAUUAAGCAUUGCUGAAUGAACUGAGGGGUUGAUUCCCUGUGCUUGGCUGCUU
ensembl:lncRNA